rnacentral:rRNA from 1 species
CAGCAGCCGCGGGAAUACGAAGGGUGCAAGCGUUACUCGGAAUUACUGGGCGUAAAGCGUGCGUAGGUGGUGGUUUAAGUUCGUUGUGAAAGCCCUGGGCUCAACCUGGGAAUUGCAGUGGAUACUGGGUCACUAGAGUGUGGUAGAGGAUAGUGGAAUUUCCGGUGUAGCAGUGAAAUGCGUAGAGAUCGGAAGGAACAUCUGUGGCGAAGGCGACUAUCUGGGCCAACACUGACACUGAGGCACGAAAGCGUGGGGAGCAAACAGGAUUAGAUACCCCCGUAGUCCCUGUCUCUUAUAC